UAGUGGUAUCCAGCGUUUUUGCCCAGUUGGACUCUCUGAGGUCUGAGCCUCUGAGGCAUAUUCGGCCAGCAGACGAAUCUCGGGCGUGUCUUUUUGUUUUAAAAAUGGCGACCAUGUUUUGUUUAUUAGCAAGUUUUACCGCCUCUCAGACUCAGAGACUCAGAUUCUUGUCACACGAUUUCUGAUCUGAAAAAGAUUCAUUAGGAUGGAAGGCUAUAUUUCUAAAUAGGAUUUACUUCGCCAUCAAUAAAGAGCUACAACGAAGAUUCAAGAUUGAUUGACCCAAUAACAUGGUGACCCGGCGUUCGGAGUGGCUGGAAUGAAAGCAGCUCUAGAUUUGUUUGAUAUUACGGCAGACUCAAUCGAUCACCCAUGCUCAGUGUCAGUGCAGAGGCUCGUCAAGUGAUUAAAAUAGUAUUUAUUUAUAAUGAAUUUGUUCCGCAAUUACGGUAGUUUUGUCAAUACAUAUCCCCCCAAAAUUAA